AACGAACGCUGGCGGCGUGGAUAAGACAUGCAAGUCGAGCGGGCUGUAGCAAUACAGUCAGCGGCGCAAGGGUGCGUAACACGUGGGGAAUCUGCCGAGAAGUGGGGGAUAGCUCGCCGAAAGGCGAAUUAAUACCGCAUGUGACUAGGAGCGACAUCUCUCCGACGUCAAAGCUGGGUUAAACUAGCGCUUCUUGAUGACCCCGCGGCCUAUCAGCUAGUUGGCGAGGUAACGGCUCACCAAGGCAUUGACGGGUAGCUGGUCUCAGAGGACGACCAGCCACACUGGAACUGAGACACGGUCCAGACACCUACGGGUGGCAGCAGUCGAGAAUUUUUCGCAAUGGGGGAAACCCUGACGGAGCGACGCCGCGUGGAGGAUGAAGGUCUUCGGAUUGUAAACUCCUGUCAUUUGAGAACAAGGGUGUGCGAGUCACUACCGCGCACUUGAUAGUAUCAGAAGAGGAAGAGACGGCUAACUCUGUGCCAGCAGCCGCCGUAACAC
rnacentral:rRNA from 1 species